GGAUGCGAUCAUACCAGCACUAAAGCAUCGGAUCCCAUCAGAACUCUGAAGUUAAGCGUGCUUGGGCGAGAGUAGUACAAGGAUGGGUGACCUCCUGGGAAGUCCUCGUGUUGCAUUCC
rnacentral:rRNA from 2 species